GAACCCUUAGUUCAGUGGUAGAAUAUCUGAUUCCAGUAGAACAGGCGCUUUGAGUCUGUCCUGGAGACUCCAGAAGGUCAUCCGUUCGAUCCGGGUAGGGUUCA